GGUUCGAUGGUGUAGUUGGUUAUCACUUCUGUCUAACAGGACGGCCAAAUCGGCUUCCCUUGUGCACAGGCGGUCCUCAGUUCGAACCUGGGUCGAAUCA